rnacentral:misc_RNA from 1 species
AAAGUCGUAACAAGGUAACCGUAGGUGAACCUGCGGUUGGAUCAUUACAAAGUUCGUUGCCCCGAAGAGGGGUCCAACGAUGGGUUUGUUUUGUGCACCGUCUCUGUCUUUGGCGGGUGGGUAGAGCAGACUGGGGGUCUGCCUGCCUGUCAGCUUGGUGGGGCGCCGGGGGAAACCCAGGGUGCGCGGGGGAGCCGAGCUGUGCCUCUAGAGAGAGGCCUUGCUUGCUUGCAACCGCGCGUCCCCGGGGCCACCCUGCCUGACCGACCAGGCCGUGGACAACCCGUCGGUGGCCUCGCACCGCUGCGUGCGGGCCGCAGCAACCGAACUGCACUGCAUUUUUUCGAGUGGUUUACAGCCUUACAUCCAACCUCCGUACCGGAGGAGACGGAAACAACCGACAACUUUUGGCAACGGAUCUCUUGGUUCUC